UCAACAGCAAAUUCAAUUGCUUACUUGUUGGUAGGUAUGUUGAAAGGUUUACGGUAACUUUAUUACCUGUAUACCGUAUAUACAUUACUGUACACUUAAGGUCUGCAUUUACUAUUAAUCAUUGAGUUCAGUGGCGUAAUUGUGGAGGUGUACGACCAUCCGUUAUUACUCCCUGACAUAACGUAGUAGGUGUGACGAAAUGCUUUUACACCUGUUG